rnacentral:rRNA from 1 species
UGGGGAAUAUUGCGCAAUGGGCGAAAGCCUGACGCAGCGACGCCGCGUGAGGGAAGAAGGCCUUCGCGUCGUAAACCUCUGUCUAGAGGGAAGAAACCAUUGAGGUCGAACAGGCCUCUUUGCUGACGGUACCUCUGAAGGAAGCACCGGCUAACUCCGUGCCAGCAGCCGCGGUAAUACGGAGGGUGCGGGCGUUAAUCGGAAUCACUGGGCGGAAAGCGCACGUAGGCGGUGUCGUAAGUCGGAUGUGAAAGCCCUCGGCCCAACCGGGGAACUGCAUUCGAUACUGCGACGCUUGAGUGCCGGAGAGGGUGGCGGAAUUCCAGGUGUAGGAGUGAAAUCCGUAGAUAUCUGGAGGAACACCAGUGGCGAAGGCGGCCACCUGGCCGGCAACUGACGCUGAGGUGCGAAAGCGUGGGGAUCAAACA